rnacentral:rRNA from 1 species
GACGAACGCUGGCGGCGUGCUUAACACAUGCAAGUCGUACGGUAAGGCCCUUUCGGGGGUACACGAGUGGCGAACGGGUGAGUAACACGUGAGUAACCUGCCCACAACUUUGGGAUAACGCUAGGAAACUGGUGCUAAUACUGGAUAUGUGCUCCUGCUGCAUGGUGGGGGUUGGAAAGCUCCGGCGGUUGUGGAUGGACUCGCGGCCUAUCAGCUUGUUGGUGGGGUAGUGGCCUACCAAGGCGGCGACGGGUAGCCGGCCUGAGAGGGUGACCGGCCACAUUGGGACUGAGAUACGGCCCAGACUCCUACGGGAGGCAGCAGUGGGGAAGAUUGCACAAUGGGCGCAAGCCUGAUGCAGCAACGCCGCGUGCGGGAUGACGGCCUUCGGGUUGUAACCCGCUUUCAGCAGGGACGAAGCUUUUUGUGACGGUACCUGCAGAAGAAGCACCGGCUAACUACGUG